GUAUGUGUGAGAGUGUUAGAUCUCCUGGAACAAGAGUUACAGACAGUUGUCAGCUGCCAUGUGUGUGCUGAGAAUUGAAUUGAAUUUCUUGGAAGAGCAGCCAAUGCUCUUAACUUCUGAGCCAUCUCUCUAGCACUAUAGUUACAGUAGUUACAGUAAAAUAGAGCAUAUAAAAAUAUAAGAAUGUAUCAGUGCUCUACUUGUAGUUGGCACUAUUUCUUUAUAGAUAAAAUGAUUUAUAUGCAAUUAUGAAAUUCAGAUUAGCAAAACAAUAUGUGUGUGUAUGUAAAUGGUUUGGGUUUUUUUAUUUGUUUUGUUUGUUUUUCUUGCUUCUGCCUCCUGAGUGCUGGGAAUAAAGCAAUUUUAUGUGUAUGAGUAUUUGCCUACAUGUUUGUAUAUGCACUACAUGUGUGUUUGAUGUCUAAGAGGUUUGUCUGUUCCCCUGGGGCUGGAGUUACAAAUGGUUUUGAGCUGUUUUGUGGGUUCUAGGAAUCAAGUCCAGGUUCUCUACAAGACCACCACUCUUUAAUCCUGAGCCGCCUCUCCAGUCCCCUUUGUAUAAUUUGAGUCAGAGUUUAUGGCUAGGUAAAUGUCUAAGCUAAUAUUGAAGGGAAACUUUUUAGGUACACGUAGUAACAAUGAGGGUACAGGUAUCUUCCUUAUACAUGUGUGCG
rnacentral:lncRNA from 1 species